rnacentral:rRNA from 1 species
AGUGAACGCUGGCGGCGUGCUUAACACAUGCAAGUCGAACGAGAACGGAAUAUAGCUUGCUAUAUUUGUCAGCUAAGUGGCGCACGGGUGAGUAAUGUAUAGAUAACCUGCCCUUAAGAAAGGAAUAACAGUUGGAAACGACUGCUAAUGCCCUAUAUGCCUUUAAUACAUAAGUAUGCAAGGGAAACGCUUUAGUGCUUAAGGAUGGGUCUGUAUGGUAUCAGCUUGUUGGUGAGGUAAUGGCUCACCAAGGCUAUGACGCCUAACUGGUUUGAGAGGAUGAUCAGUCACACUGGAACAGAGACACGGUCCAGACUCCUACGGGAGGCAGCAGUGGGUAAUAUUGCACAAUGGACGAAAGUCUGAUGCAGCAACGCCUCGUGGAGGAUGACACAUUUCAGUGCGUAAACUCCUUUUAUAUAGGAAGAUAAUGACGGUACUAUAUGAAUAAGCACCGGCUAACUCCGUGCCAGCAGCCGCCGUAA